AUUGAACGCUGGCGGCAUGCCUUACACAUGCAAGUCGAACGGUAACAGGUCUUCGGAUGCUGACGAGUGGCGAACGGGUGAGUAAUACAUCGGAACGUGCCCGAUCGUGGGGGAUAACGGAGCGAAAGCUUUGCUAAUACCGCAUACGAUCUACGGAUGAAAGCAGGGGACCGCAAGGCCUUGCGCGAACGGAGCGGCCGAUGGCAGAUUAGGUAGUUGGUGGGAUAAAAGCUUACCAAGCCGACGAUCUGUAGCUGGUCUGAGAGGACGACCAGCCAAACUGUGACUGAGACACGGCCCAGACUCCUACGGGAGGCAGCAGUGGGGAAUUUUGGGCAAUGGGCGCAAGCCUGAUCCAGCAAUGCCGCGUGCAGGAUGAAGGCCUUCGGGUUGUAAACUGCUUUUGUACGGAACGAAAAGGCUCUGGUUAAUACCUGGGGCUCAUGACGGUACCGUAAGAAUAAGCACCGGCUAACUACGUGCCAGCCGCCGCAGUAAAAC
rnacentral:rRNA from 1 species